rnacentral:ncRNA from 1 species
CGUGUGGUGUCUGGCAGCAAAACAAGGCUGGAUAGCGACACGGCCUGAACAGAGGU